rnacentral:lncRNA from 1 species
CACACACACACACACACACAACACACCACACACACACACACACACACACACACACAAACACCACACACACACACAAACACCACACACAGACACACACACACACACACAUACACAGAGUUCUUUUUUUACUCAAAAAUAAAAUUCAUAUUCAGAAAAAAGAUAAACAAGAGAACCUCCGAAAGUCAGCAUCGUGAUCACCUCUAGUGAGUGGUGGAAUUUAGGCAGAGCCUCUCCCCAUUCAGCAUGCUGUCAUAUACUUUUUUUCAAUUAGCAUACGUCCUGUGGGAAAAUGUUGGCAGCCAGCAUGAGCAGAUGAAAUAGGCUGCCCUCUUUGUAUGCCUGUCACCCCUUCACAAAGGAGGGAUGUUGUUUUGCUGACAGCCCUGAAGAUCACUCAAUCUCAUGUGGCAAAUCCUUCCAGGUCAGAAGCAAAUCGAGCUAAAGCAGUGAAUUUGAAAGCACAGCCAGGCCCACGUGUUCUCUUCUGAGCUCAGGGAGACCAGUACAAGCGGCUCCAGGGCCAAAAGCAGCGAAACGCUCACUAGCACAAAUGUGACAGCAAUAUUUUUGUUCACCGAUUUACAAAAGGCGGGGGCAGGGGUUCCAACCCUGGAAAAGUACCCCCUUGUACUUUUGCACAGUGAAUUCCUUAGGGAACUUCAGACUGGGAUGUAGGGUGGUGGUGUUCCAUUUGGAUGAUUUUCUCAUGAAUAGUGUGGAGGCCAAAGAAAGUCCGUAACUGAUCGGCCCCUUCGGAGCAGGAAAUGCUAUUAAGACUUUCUUCUUCUUUUUUUUUUUUUUUUUCCUCAGUUUUUUUUUUUUUUCUUUCUUUCUUUUAAAGUGCAGCCACGUUGUGAUAUGACACCACCCUGUUGCGGGGCUGUAAGUACUGCUGUUCCGGCCAAGCCUCUCCUGGGCCCUCGAGCGCAGAUUAGCAUGGAGGGACCAACUUUUUCAUUUGCAUCUGAAAGUGCCCGCCACAAACAGCUGAGGCAGCAUUUCUGCAAAGGCGGAGAGGACUUGAAUGUGUCCUCGAGGUCAGUCUGUCUGAGGGCUCUACCUCCCUGAGAGAGAAUUCUGGAUUUCGUCCUGACGCUCUGCCCUUCCACAGAAGUAGCCCCAUCACAGAAGAAAUACCCUAUUCAUUUGGGAAUCACAACACAGUUUUCAGUUCUGUAAUCUCUCCAUGUACUCUAUCUUUCUGGCUCUUCUUCCUGCUGCGUCUCUUCCUGUCUGUCACCAGAGAGGGGAUGUGGUCUCCUAGUCCUUUAUUUCAUCAUUUGCAAAUGUGAGGGGGCACAGUCCGUGAAGUCGGACAGAUUACAGCUCUCCAGCCCUGGGAAUCCUAUCGGCUUUUCCCUCCCAGUUGUCCUCACUCUGUGCAGGGUUCUGGAUCAUCGUCACUUAGCUUUUGAGCAGUCUUGCUGUUCUCACAAGUCUAACUUCACUCAGCCAUCUCAUCCAUCACCUAUGCACAGCACAAGCAGGACCUGCCUGUCCCUGGAAGCCUUCCUCUUCAUAAGACAGUCUCCAGCCAGGUGAUGUUUCUCUGCCACAGGUUCAGGAGGUGGCAGACAUGUAGACUCAUGACGUAACUUGCCUGAUAUCAGAGGGUGUGUGAUAUUAAUGUGUUAUCAGAAACAAGCCAAUGGGAGGUUGUAACUCAGUGGUGAAAAGUCUACUUCCAUGGUCAAGGUCAUGGGUUCCUUCCCCAGCUUCACAAACAAAGCAGAACAACCCUAAUUAGUGGAUAUGUUGUACUGGUCAGAAGUUAGCCAAAGCCUUCAGCUGCAAAGCAAAAACAUGACAAAAUCUAUCGCUCCAAGAUCAUGAGAGCCCCCAAACUAAAGCAAAGGGGCAAAUGAAUCACCAUGUAUGACUCACAGUUACUGGCGGGAUGUCAAAACCAUGUAGCCCUGAGUUAAAGUCCUAUCUUUACCCCUUUUGGGCUCUAAGCCAUGGCAGAACCCAUUUGAGCUACAAGGAGUACAAAUUCGCUCUUGCCAACAUAAACUCUACAGGGGCAGGGGAAGGGUAUUUUUAUAAAGAAAACAGUGUCAUUCAAAGAAUGAAAAGAAGAGCUGAAAGCCUGGCCACUCCAGAGAUCUUGGCAGGAUGUUCAGCGUUCUGUUUCUUUAGGACACUUAGACAACCCUACUCUUGAUGACUUUUGAGUUCUGGCCUGCAAUCUCCACACAGAAUGCAAGUUUUCAGACCAGAGAUCUUGACUGGCCAGCUAGGAUAUGUGCAGCACUUUGUGGGCUGUGAUUGGACAGAG